GACAGAGGAUGCAAGCGUUAUCCGGAAUGAUUGGGCGUAAAGCGUCUGUAGGUGGCUUUUUAAGUCCGCCGUCAAAUCCCAGGGCUCAACUCUGGGUCGGCCACUGAUACUCGCGAGCUCGAGUUUGGUAGAGGCAGAUGGAAUUCCGGGUGUAGCGGUGGAAUGCGUAGAGAUCCGGAAGAACACCGGUGGCGAAGGCGGUCUGCUGGGCCAAGACUGACGCUGAGGCGCGACAGCGUGGGGAGCGAACAGG
rnacentral:rRNA from 1 species